UACAGAGGUGGCAAGCGUUGUUCGGAAUUACUGGGCGUAAAGGGCGCGUAGGCGGUUCGUUAAGUCCUGUGUGAAAUCCCCCGGCUCAACUGGGGAACUGCACAGGAAACUAGCGGGCUUGAGUGUGGGAGAGGGAUGCGGAAUUCCAGGUGUAGCGGUGAAAUGCGUAGAUAUCUGGAGGAACACCGGUGGCGAAGGCGGCAUCCUGGACCAUUACUGACACUGAAAAGCGAAAGCCAGGGGAGCAAACGGG
rnacentral:rRNA from 1 species